AAGCCUAAGAGAAAGCGUACAGGUAUUGUGAACUUUUUAAUGUCUUAUUAGCUUCAGUUUUUUAAUUUCUGCUGGUCUCUACUAGAUAGAAUGAAUAACUAAAUAUCUUUUUCUUGUCGAUUAUAGCAAGAACUCCAAAAAUAGGUUGUGAGGUCUAAAAUCACAUUCCUGCUGCUGCCGAUUUGCUUCCUCACCAACCAAACUGUCCCCCCAUUGUGGUGCAAAAAAAUUUGCUCAUGAAACAACAAACUUUUGUUGUUCUAAUGGGGAUGUUGUUUUAGCUAGCAAUUCAAUCCUAGCUAUUCUAAAAGAACUUCUUACCUCAUCAUCUGAGGAAGCUCAACUAUUUAGGACCUAUAUUAGAACAAUUAAUAACAUCUUUGCUUUCACUUCCUUUGGAGUAAAAUGUGAUAAAAAUUUGGCUAAGAGAAAUAAUGGUAUUUAUACUUUUAGAGUACAGGUCAGGUUUAUCAUUUCAUCAAUGAUUUAGAGACCUUAAAAAAUUUGCAGUUCUAUUUUCAUGAUAGUGAAAAUGAAUUAGCAAAUCGAUUAAAUGGCUACCCAAGAUUAACUAAGAGCAUUCUCCAGAAAACCAUGAAUGUCAUGCAGCAAAAUCCCUAUGCUAGAUUCUUCAGUGGCUUAAGGGAGGUUCAUAACCUUGAUACUUAUCGCAUUGUUUUACGAACACACCCUGGUUUAGUCGAAAGAGUAUUUAAUAAGCCUACAGUGUCUCAAUUUGCUACUUUAUGGGUAGAAGGAGAAGAAAAUAGAGAAACAAGCCGUCGAGAUAUUCGAGUGUACACCCAUGAUGGCCAUUUACACAAUAUCGAAUAUUACUAUGGCUGUUAUGACCCUCUCCAAUACCCUCUUUUGCUUCCUUUUGGUGAACCUUGUUGGCAUCAAGGGAUUAAAAAACAAGGAAAAAAGCUGCACCAAAAAAAGACUAGGAAAAGAGAUGCUCAAAUUUCUAUUUCUCCAAUGAAUGCUUCUACUGCCGAAGAGUUAAUACAGAUGGAACAAGACUAUAAGUAGAAUAAAUCUUUUCCACCCGUGUUCAAUUAACUUUAGCAUGCUAACCUCAUUAACCUUUUUUCUAAAUUCCUUCAACCAAUAAUGGUAGGAAUAGAUGGCGAUCUUGAUUUCGUUUCCAUCCAUGAAUACUAUGCCUAUAAAUUGCAAAUGAGAAACGAUUAUGAAUCUUUCUUAUUGCACUUUGGUAGGCUAUUUCAGCAAUAUGUUGUUGAUAUGUAUGUUAAACAUGAAUCACAAAGAUUAGAUUAUUUGAGAAUCCAGCAAGAAGAAUUUAGAAAAGGAUUCUUACAAGGCAUAGUAGACUCAAUAGGUGCUGGUGAAGUCCGGGCAGCAAAUAUUGGUUAAAGAGUAUUUUUACUAGCUAGCUUUAUUGAAGGACCAAGAAAUCUAAGAAGAAAAUACAUAGAUGCAAUGACCUUGGUCGAAAAAUUUGGCGGGCUUGAUAUAUUCUUGACCAUGACUUGCAAUCCCAAUUGGCCAGAAAUAAAAGAACAUUUACUGCCAACAGAGGAAGCCCAAAAUUGACCAGAUUUGGUUGUAAGGGUCUUUCGUGCUAAACUAGAAGAAUUAAAGAAUAAGCUUUUAAAGAAAAAUAUUUUUGGAGAAGUGGCAGCCUAUACAUAUGUGAUAGAAUUUCAAAAAAGAGGCCUGCCACAUGCUCAUUUUCUUUUAAUCUUAAAGCCUCAGCACAAAAUGUUCAUUUCUAAUGAAUAUGAUAAAAUUGUUAGUGCAGAAAUUCCAGAUAAAAUAAAAUAUCCACACCUAUACAGGAUGGUUAAAAAACACAUGAUGCAUGGCCCUUGUGGUGUGUUAAACCCAUCAAAUGUUUGCAUGAGUAAGCAUGGCUGCUACAAAAAUUCUUAUCCAAAAGAGUUCUCUGAGCAAACAAUUCAGACGCUAGAUUCCUAUCCAAAAUAUCGAAGAAGGAACAAUGGUGUUAAAAUUAAAGUCAGAAAACAAAAGCUUGAUAAUAGAUGGGUUAUUCCUUAUAAUGCAUAUUUUUUGUUAAGUUCAAUUGCCACACUAAUGUUGAGAUUUGCUCAACAAUUCUGGCUGUCAAAUACAUUUACAAGUAUAUCUGCAAAGGUCAUGAUCGAAUCAGUUUCCAUUUCAAUUAUGAUAAUCCAAACAAUCAGAUUGAUGAAAUUCAACAAUAUCAGGCAGCUCGGUGGGUUUCGCCACCUGAGGCUAUUUGGAGACUAUUUCGAUUUUCCAUAAGAGAAAUUAAACUAGCUAUUAUUCACCUAUAACUGUACCUUCCAAAUUUUCAGCCAGUUCACUUCAAGAAGCAUGAAAAUUUAAAUAACAUAGUCAAACAUCCAAGAAAUAGGAAGACAAUGUUGACUGAAUUUUUCUAUAUGAAUAGAACAAAUUCAGUUGUACAAGAGCUAAAUUGCACAUAUGCUCAAUUUCCAGACCAUUUUGUGUGGUUAGCUAAUGAAAAAUGCUGGAAAAUUAGAGAUAAGAGAGAUUCCAUAGGCCGAAUAAAUACAGCUCAUCUAUAUGAGGGAGAAAGAUAUUACCUCAGGCUUCUUUUGUCUAAAGUCCGUACGCCAAAGUCUUUUGAAGACUUAAUGACUCACAACCUUUCGUGAGGUAGCUCUUUUGCGCGGCCUACUUGAGGAUGAUGAUAGCCAAGAAAUUUAUCUACAAGAAGCGUCUCUUUUUCAUAUGCCUUAUGAAAUGAGACGACUUUUUGCUAAGCUGUUAGUUUACUCCUGUCCGAAUGACCCCAAACAGCUAUAGACAAAAUUUGAGGUUGUCAUGUCCAAAGAUUUCUUGAGAAAUACUGAUUUAUCUCCUAGAGAAAUCAAAAGAAAAGUUUUAGAGCAAAUAAAUGGUUUUCUGCAGUCAAUGAGAAAAAAUAUAGCUUCAUUUGGCUUACUUCCUAAUAAUUUCUCAUUCUCAGAUAUAGAGAACCAAACAAGAGAGGUAUUGGCUGAAAAAAGCAUAAAAGUCCUUGAAGAGGACUUAAAUGCAAUUUCUUUGCUUAAUCAAAACCAGAGGCAUGCAUUUGAAGUUCUAUCUAAAAGAGUUUAUGAAAAUAAGAGUGGUGCAUUUUUUGUUGAUGGCCCUGGUGGAACUGGAAAAUCUUUUCUUUAUAGAGCGUUGUUGGCUGAUAUUAGGUCAAAGGGCUAUAUAGCAUUAGCGACAACAGCAUCAGGUGUUGCUGCAUCAAUACUACCUAGAGGUAGAACCGCUCACUCUCGGUUUUAAAUACCAAUUGAUACCUCAUAGGGUAGAGCAUGCAAAAUUAGUAAACAAAGCAAUUUGGUAGGUAUGAUUAAGGAAUGCAAAUUAAUUAUUUGGGAUGAAGUGUGGGGACUCGAAAAUUUUCUUAUUUUUAUAGAAUAUUACCGGGUUAUUUAAAUAAUUAUUCACUCAUUUUCUCUGAAUUAUUUAUUUCGACCAUUUUAAAUCCAUUUAGAUGGAACAACGUCUCUUUUAUGUUUUUAAACCGUUUUGUUAGAAAAUUUACUUUUCAAAAAUUCGUUUAGUUUGGAACAACGAGUGCACGUCUUUCGAGGCUAUACUUGAAUCGGGAGUGUAUUAAUAUUGGAGAAUUAAGAAUGAUUAAUAGUAGAUUAAGAAAAGUUAAUUGAGAAAUUAAUACUCGACUCAUGUAAGAACUCACAAAUUUACCUAUUUUAAAUUCCUGUUACGAGCUUAUUUAAUUAUUUAUUUGGCCAAUGGCCCCGAAUAUUAUUUUCUAUCCUUAUUAGACCUAAAUACAUGGAAUUAUAGCUUCAUUAUAUUUUUAAAGUGUCUCGUUUCAAAAAUUAUUUUCUUGGAAGCUUGUUUAGCGAAAAAAUGAAAACGCGUUAGGAAAUUUUAUCCGAUUGAGAGUACAAUAGGCUUGGGAUAUUCAAGACUUGUACAAUGGUCCUAAAAUAGGUAAUUUUAUGUUUAAGUACUCAAGUGAUAGUUAGUAGUACAAUCGUUAUAAGAAUUUCUCGAAAGUUUCGCAUUAUAGCGUUCAAAUUGGCGAUACGCGUUUUCACACGCGCGAUUUUAAUUGAGGGACUUUAGACCCUUAUUUCGUGACAAUUAAGAGUGAAUAUUAUCUACAUGAAUAUAAGUGCAUUAGAGGUUUAGUGCACUAGUGCAACAAAAGCGAGAGAAAAUCGAGUCCAAACGCAUCCUAAUUGCACUAUUUUCAAGUUGACUUUGAGAUGGAUUUUGCACCACACAAUGAAUCUUCCUUAGGAAGCCACAAUUGAACCAACACUUUCUCUCUCCUCACUUCAUUUGGCCGUGCAACAAGAAGGGAGAAGAACUCUCCAUUGUUCUUCAUUUUUCAUCUUCAAUCCAUGCACCAAAUUUCAUCCAAAUCGCACCAAAUUUCAUCCAAAUCACACCAAACUUGGAGACCACUUAGCAAACCACUUGGAGAUUAUAUCUAGCUAAGAAAGAGGGGAGCUUUCACGGUUUCUUGGAGCUUCAAGAGGGCCGAAAAAUUCUGAUCUUGCACAGCAAAGGAGUAGGUAAUGAUCAACCCAUGGAUUCUUAUCUUUUGGAGGUUAUAUAGCAAGAUUAAGCUCAUGCAUGCACUUAGUUAGUUGUUUAUGGUGUAAGAUGAAAAGGGUGGGCUCUAUGAACUCCCACAUUUGUGAUGAGGACUGAUUUUGGGUUGAUGAUAUUUAUAAUGUUGGAUUAGUGUUUAAAAUGUUGGAUUAUUGGUGCAUAAUUAGUGGAAACUUCAAGGAGAGCAAAAGGCCAAAUCUGACCAUUUUGCCCCUGACUUGUUCGGCCACUUUAAUGCAAUAUUUUGAGGUUAUAAUGGCUUGAUUGUGUUUUUUACAUGUUAUAUUAGUUGUGUAAAAAUUUUCAUUGAAAAAUAUUGAGGUUUGGUUGGUCAAAUGAAUUUUUCUCCUAGAGCUAGCAAUCUGGAAAACUGUCCCGUAAUGCACUGACCAGCGUUAGAGUUUUCUCCAUAACUCGGUACUCCGACGUCGAAAUUGAGUUUCGGAAGUGGCGUUUGAAACUAGACAUUCCCAGCUUUAAUUUGAUAUAAAAUGCACGUUCUGGUUCCAUGUGUGUGAGCCAAACCAAUCGUUUUAAGAAGGCUGUUCUGUUCCUCUGUUCUGCUGAAAUGAAGUGCUGAGGCAGCAACUUUAGGCUCAAUUUCGAGCUCGUUGUGUGCCGAAUUUUAAAACGAUUUCUUCUGUAAUAUUAUAAACCUAUGAAUGUAUUUUCCAACGACAUAAACCAUGCUCAAUUCUGAGUUAAAUUGACUGAGUUGUGAUCAAAACAAGAGGACUGCCCUGUUUUUGGAAAACCCUAGUUUUGGGGACAGAUUUGAUUAACGACUUGUUGUGAUCUUGUUAAUUGAAACUCUUGGUGUUAAACAACUACCAAAUGUACCAUGAAUGUUCCUUGGACUUUUCUUAUACAAAUGAACCCUGUUUGGAGUUUUUCCUUGGCCGAAUGUUUGGAAACGGAAAGCAAAAGAACUCAAGGCAGAUUGCCUUAGAAUUUUUCCGAAACUUUGGAUGAUUGGUUGACUACCUUCCCGAAGGUAUUUUUCCAUGAAAUUUGAUAGAGAGAUACCCUUCAUAUAGGAGUAUUGUACUACCAAAUUUGGUACCAAUCCAAGUUCUUUUUGAUACCAAACUAAAGUUCCAAUUUUGGAAGUUCAAAUCUGGAAAUUUUUCUCCAGUCUUGAAUUUUCCCCAACUUUGAACUACCGUAUCUCGGUGCUCGAAACUCCGAUUCUUGAUUCGCUUGUUUUUUUAUGAACCUUACUUGCAACUCUAAUUGAGUUACAAAUUCCAGAGGCUGGUUCGUAACGUGUGAAUUUUUCCGAAUUUUCAAAGUUGGCCAAAAACCAACUUAAUUCUGUCUUGUGAAUUAAGGCAGUAACUUCAAGCUCAUUUUUGGACACCUACCACUUAGAUUCAUGGGAAAGUGUCUUCUAAGAACUUUUAUUACUUUCCAAGAGAUUUCCAGCGGUAUAAAUUUCUCCAAUUUUGGACUUAUAUCGAGAGAGAUACAAUUUUUCAAAGAUUCGUAACAAAACUGAAAUUUUCCAACUUUCAAGGAAAUAGAGUUUUCCAAGAACUCUUUAUUCUUUUGAUAUUAUUCAAACGUUUUAUCCUUGAUUUCCAAGAUAAAAACUCAAAUGCUCUUGUAUCUUAUGAAACCCCACUCGAACCUCGAUUUACAAGUAAUUGGGUUCAUUUUCACGACAUUUCCUAGAUUCUUCUAGUACACGAAUUUUCUUCGAUAAUUGGGGUGUAUGAAUAAUAAUUUACUAUUAUUUGCUCAGGCGCACACAAGGACCUUCAAGAGGAUCCCGCGGUGGACGCUUGAACUUUCCUUGACCCUACUUGCUCUAAAUACUUGGUGAGUGUCAAGUGCAUGUUACUUGAACUCCUGUGAACUUGUUACAUGCUAUUGUUAUCAAUGCUAUGAGAUUUGAAAAAUGGAGUCGAGUGUGUACUUUAUCGCACUCGUUCUCAUUCGAAACAAUUUAAUUCGUGCUCAAAUUACUUGAAUAUAUCGAUUACUUGAAUACAUCGAUUGCUUGGAUAUGUUAAUGCUUGAUACAUGAUUUGAUAUGCUAUGGCUGCAUACGUCGUUGGAGUGAAUCUCCUCGACACGCCAAUGUUCAUGGGAUGCCCAAAUCUCAUUGGCCAACCUUGGACUCGAGCCGGCAUGGGCUUGGUCGGGAACCUUGGCGAGCCAUGAGACAUAAAAGCUUGACCUAAUGAGAGGUCUUGCUUGGCAUACUCGAGUAGUAUCGCCACAAACCAAUGACAGGCGGGCCCGAAAUAGGGGUAUGUAAGGUGAAAGGGGACAUGUUAAGUGGAGUUCUACGGACUAAAUCUACCCGAUUGACGGAGUGUCAAUUCGUGGAGGUUAUUGAUCGUGCACGUGGAAUAUAGCUCCUGAGAGCUCCAGUAUCCUUGAAUUGUUUCUGCUUACCUUUCCAGUAAAUUGUUAAUUACUGAAUUAUUAUUGCUCGACUUGUAAAUUGGGAUUGUUAUUUGAACAAUGUGCUUGCAUGUGUGUUCUUGGCCUAACGAGCGUUUUGCUCACCCUGUAGAUUUGUUUUCCUUAACAGGUCUGGACAGGGAAUGAACUUGGAGAAACCCCUUUUCGUAUUUUGGCUUAGGGUUUCAAGUGUAAUUUGGCUUGACCCCUUUAUGGUUGUACUUUUGAAAGUUUAAUGUAUCAUUCGGAUAUAUGUGAG
rnacentral:lncRNA from 1 species